AGCUCCAAUAGCGUAUAUUAAAGUUGUUGCAGUUAAAAAGCUCGUAGUUGGACUUCUGGUGGGAGCGACCGGUCCCGCGCUCUGCGUGGGUACUUGAGUCGUCUCCGGCCAUCCUUGGGGAGAGCCAGUCUGGCAUUAAGUUGUCGGGCUGGGGAUGCCCAUCGUUUACUGUGAAAAAAUUAGAGUGUUCAAAGCAGGCUUAUGCCGCUGAAUAUAUUAGCAUGGAAUAAUAAGAUAGGACCUUGGUACUAUUUUGUUGGUUUGUGCACCGAGGUAAUGAUUAAUAGGGACAGUUGGGGGUAUUCGUAUUCCAUUGUCAGAGGUGAAAUUCUUGGAUUUCUGGAAGACGAACUACUGCGAAAGCAUUUACCAAGGAUGUUUUCA
rnacentral:rRNA from 1 species